UCUUUGUUUCCAGUGAAUAAUGUAUGAAAAUGACCAAAUAAAAUAAUGUUUAAAAAAAAAAAAAGGAGUAGAGAGGGAGCGGCCUGAACACCAUCUGAAGUAGCUAGAGUUCAAAUUUCUAUGAUGCUUUGUGCAUUAGAAAACAUUUUUCUCUUAAAACCUCCAUAUGGUGCCCUAUUAGAUGUAUUAUUAUGUUCAUUCUACAGGCAAGAAAACUGACAUUCAGGAUGUAAAUGACAGUGUAAGUAACUAACUGGCAUCACACAGUCAUUCAUGGCUGGACUGCCAUUUGCAUUUAGCUUAUCUGACCCACGUAGCUAGAAUUUUUGCCAUUGGAAGGGCCUUGCCCCACAUUCCUGCUCUUCUCUCUUCCUGAUUAUCAUGGCAUGUCUAUAGACUUCUCACUCCACACCUUUGGUACCUCAUUUACUCUGGUUUUUCCUCUAUCUUUCUAUCAAAACUGCCCCACUUUAUUUGCCUUGAUCUCAGCUUUCGGGAAAUUAAAUUAAUACCCAGAUGGAUAAUUGGUAACAGGUUGAUAAUAAAACUUUCCUGAAUUUUCAGCUAGUAUGGCAGUAGGGGAAGAGAGAACUUUGAUUUGUCCCUUGUGUAAGAUCACAUUGUCACCUGCCUCUGGUGUUCCAUUUGGAAGGCAAGCCAUCCCUGUUUGUAGAGACAGGUUAAAAUCAAGAAAAAGAAGUGACAGAAAUUAUGUAAUCUCUUUAGAGACAUAACUAAUGGAAAAAAUUCCUUUGAUGUUUAGAAUUCAUCUUAAUUCCAUAUUUUAUAUUCUUUAGAAAAAGAUUGAUAUUAAUACUGUUAUCAUAAGGCAGGCACAUAAGACCUUCAAAAAUAGAUCAUUUUAGCUGGGUGACCCUGGGCAAGUCACUUAACCCUAGUUGCCUAGUCCUUACUGCUCUUCUGACUUGUAAUCAAUACUGGUAUCAAUUCCAAGUCAGAAGAUAAGGGUUGAAAAAAAGUUUCUUUGAAUAAAUUCCCAAAAUUCAGUGAGUCUUUUCCUAUUUUGAGUCUACACUGGUAAAAGCAGUGUUAGGGCAUAAUAGGGUGGGAAACAAAUACACCCUCAUUGGAACGAGCAUCAGAUAAAAAGGCGACUUUGGUCAUUACUGAUCAAUAGUGACUUGACUUCUACUUGGUUCGUUUUAAUCUGAAGAGGAAAAAUUAAGGGAAAUGCUUGUUACUUGUUUAGAAUUCGUUGGAUUCUACCCUUAAUUCUCUGAACUCAGCAUAAUAAAGGUCCUUGAAUUGCCAAAGAUCCUUAAUUUCCAUGGUUACAUAUUUAAGAAUAUGGUUUUCAGUUUUUGUUCUUUCACAUUUUUCAGCUAUGAGAAAAUAUGCUCAAUUGUAUGAGAAAUCAUUUUAAAGAGGAUUCAUUUUUUUCAAGUAUUUUAAUGAGGAUUCCAAUAAAUAAUAAAUCAUUUAGCAUUUAUGAAGCACCUACUGUGAUCCAGACACUGGGCAAAGUGGUAGGAGAUACCAAGACGAACAAAAUGAAUAUCCCUGCGAUCAAAGAACUCACAUCCUUUUAAAAUAUCCUUACUCUCUGUCCUGGUAUCUCUCUACUCUAGUAUCAGUUCUAAGACAGAAGAGCAGCAAAGGCUAGGCAAAUCAGAUUAAGUGACUUGCCCAGAGUCAUACAGCUAGGAAGUGUGUGAAACCAGAUUUGAACCUAGAUGCCCCAAAGUCCAGGUCUGACACUCAUCCACUGAACUUCCUAGUUGUAACAAAGAGCUUAGAUUUUAUCAGUUGAAUAACAGCUCACCCGAUGAACCAACUAACCCUGGAAAUGAAUGAGCACAGUGUUCAGUAACAAAGAAAAAAUUCAGAAACACUUUACUUUUGUUAACUCUAUGGUUUAAGGUGCUUUUUUUUUUUUAAAAGAUAUUUGCAAGAUUCCAGGAAUUUUUCAGAAAUAUCUUUUAUCCUGUUACCCAACUUGAUAGAAUAUUAGUAAGGAUUUUAUUUUAGAGAGAUAGAAUGUUCCAAAGACUUUCCUAAAUUACUGAAAUGGUAAUUGUUCCCUCCUCAUUUCCCUAAGCUCUCUGAAGACAUCCUAAGGACUACAGUGUAUACAUAGGUGCUUGAUAAAUAUUGAAUUAGUGAAGAAUUCCUGAGGCUCAGUCAAGAGUACUAUGAAGGUCAAAUUAUAUAACGCCUCAAUUUCCUUUUUUGUAAAACAAGGACAAAACCCCUUGUAGUAUUUACCCUCACAAUGAGAUGAUUGUAAAGUGCUAUGUAGUACUCCAUGUGGCUAGCAUAGUACUACUAUAUAUAAAUGUCAGAUAUUAUUACUGUAUUGUCAUUGAGAAGAUAAAAGGAAUAAAUUAUGCAUAUCAAUCAUUUGUUAUAAUGGUAGUGAAUUGAUUGUGAGAAACAGUUUCCGCUGGAUUACUUAGAGGCAUCAUAGAUGGUGGAUAGAAUUCUGCUGGGCUUCAUAUUUGGAAACCUUCAGUUUGAACCCCAUCCCUGGUAUUUAUGACCUUUGUGAUACUGGAGAAACUAAUUCAUUUCAGUUUCCCAAGACUUAACUACUAAGUCUUAGAUGGGUUAGGAUCCGCGUUGGUGACUGGGUAACCACACUGGGAGAUUCUCAAGAUGACAAAAUCACAGAGACUUGCAUUAGCCCAAUGUCUGAUACUCCUGAAAUCUUCCAUUUUUUCUUAAUGAUGAGACAUUAUGUAUUUUCCAUCUACAUCUAUUUGCAUGAAUUUUAAUGUCGUUAUAAGAGGUGCCAUGAAUUUCACUGAUAUUAGCAUGAAAUCCUUUGGAAGACCUCCAGCACUGUGGCAGGACUAUGGGGUACUCAAAUAGAGCUCAGCAUCAUUUUAAAAAACGCGUGCAAUGAAAUAUUGUGAUAGUCAAUGAGCAAGUAUUAAGCAUGGUGGGGAUGCCCAAGCAAAAAUGAAGAAGCCCUUCCCUCAAAGAGCUUCUAUUUUAUUUCAGGGAUUCUCAACCUUUUAUGUAGCCCCUUUAGUCCCUGGCUUUCAAUGGAAUCUUCUGGUAACCUCUAUUAUAAAUGAAAGAAAUACAUUCUAGAGUUACCACCCACAUAUGCAUAGGAAAUAAACUAUAAUAAAGAGAUUAAUUUCCCAUAAAGAAAACUAGCUUGUGCAUAAUAUUUUUAGUAUUCUAAAGUGGUCGACUAUGUAUCAAUUUACCCAAUCUAUUCACUGAUUGCUACUUUUAUAAUAUUUUAAUAGAAUAAUUUAUAUAUUUUCCUAAUAUUUCCAGUAUUCCCUUGACAAACUUCCUGUGACCUCUGGAAGUAUAUGCACCCCUGGUUGGGAACCCUUCACCAAUUUGAUGGUCCAUUAUAUUCAUUUGUGUAUUCAUAUUUUAAAUUAAUUGUCUCAUGUUGGUUUGAGAGCUGUAUUGGUUCUGAAGAGGCAUGUCUGACUAUUUUUGACCCCUUUUGGGGCUUUUCACCAUGUGUUUGGCCAUCUCCUUAUCCAGCACAUUUUACAGAUGAAGAAACUGAGGCCAACAGGGUGAAGUAACUUGUUCAGGGUCAUACAACUACUAAGUGUCUCAGGCUGAAUUUGAACUCAGAUUUUCCUGACUCUUUGCCACCUAGCCACCAUUCAAUCAAUAGCAGCAUUGCUUGUUGGAUAAGGAAAUGGCUUUGGAGUCAGGAAGCCUGUCUGAUCCAUAUUGCCUUUACCACCCAGAACAAAUUCCUUCAUAUCCCAGGCAAAAUUCUAUGAGUCUAAAUUGCUGAUAAAUGGCUGAUCUGCACUGAAAAAAGGAAGUUUCAUAAUAGAAAAUUCCCCCUGCCUAUGAAAUACUAGGUCUGAUAAAAAUAACAACUAAAUGAAUAAUCUUGUCCAAAAUGGACUGUUAAAGGUUUCUCAAAGAUGCAAUUGGAUAAUCACCUUGAAUUUGAAGAACAAACAUUGCUUAUAAAAUGGAGAUUCUUUCUUCUCAUUAACCAUUCCUCUGAGCUCUCAAUACCUGGAGAGAGCAUUGGAGAUCCAUUGAAUUAGUGCCCCAGAAGAUGAACUAUAUCAGGACAUUCAAGUCCAGAGGGAAGAGCAGAGAAUGAAGUUCAGUAAAGAAAAGAAGGAAGGGGAUGGGACAAAGGGGAUAAAGAUGGGAGAAGAGAAGGUGAGAAGCUGUGAGGAGCUAGAAGUGAAUGUAGGUGGAUUGUCAGGAUGUGAGAGGGAUAAUGGGAGCUCCCACAAGAGGAAGAUACAAUCACAACUAAAACUAAAAAUAUUUUCUUCCUUGCGAGAUGCUAAAUGCCCUCCACACUGGGAGAAGAGCCUGGAAUUGUCAUUAAAGGUUUACAACAUAGACAAAGUAUUGUGAGUUUUUAGCAUGUUCUGUGGGUUGCAAUUCCUUUGGAUCACUCUGUAUCAGCAGUGGAUAUGAAAUGGAUGAGUUUCCUGGAGGGAGAAAGAUUAGCAGAGAUCAGGCAGAGAGGGAAUUGAAUUUUUGCUUCAUUUUUUUAAAUCACCUGGAGACCAAAUGAGAUGUGGGACUAAAGAAUUGCAGGACUAUACUUCUUUGGUCAUUCAUUGUUGAGGUCUUACUCUUGAGUGGGACUACAGAACAAAUAAUAAUUGUAAUGACUAGAAUUUAGAGUGCUUUAAGGUUUGUAAGGGCUUUUAAAAUAGAAUAAUAAUGAUGUUCAGUUGUUUUGUUCCGUCAUAUCUGAUUCUUUGUGGCCUCAUUUGGGGAUUUCUUGGCAGAGAUACUGGAAUGAUUUGUCAAUUCCCUCUCCAGCUUAUUUUCCAGAUGAGGAAACUGAGGCAAACAGAGUUAAUUGAUUUUCCCAGGGAUAUACAGCUAGUAUAAGUAUCUGAGAUCAGAUUUAAACUCAGGAAAAUGAGUCUUCCUGACUUCAGAACUAUUGUGCCACCUCCCUGCCCAAUAAUAAUAAUAACAGCAAUUAUGUAGUGCCUACUAUGGACCAGGGACUGUAUUAAGCACUUUAUCAUUAUUAUUUCACUUGAUCAUCAUAGCAAUGCUGGGAGAUAGAUGCUAUUAUUAGCCCUAUUUUAUAGAUGAGGAAACUAAGGCAAAUAGAAGUUUAGUGACUUAUCCCGGGUCACACAGCUAGCAAAUAUCUGAGUCCAGAUUGGAACCCAGGUUCCUCUGACUCCAGAUUCAAUACCAUCCAUUAAACCACUGUUACUUUGCAGGACUGCAGUUUUAGAGCCCAAAGAAACGUUAGAGGUCAACCCCUUCAUAUCAAUAAGGAAAAAUAAAUUGGAGAGAGGUUAAGUGACUUCUUCAGUAAGUGUUUAAGGCAGAAUUUGAACCCAAGUCUUCCUGAUUCCAAGUCCAGUGCUCUAACCACUACUCUGCAUUGCUAGAGGAUUUUAACCCAGAUUUAUUUCACACAGUCCAAAGCACAAAAUACAAAAAUAUAAAUCUCCUUCUCCUCCAUUUAACUGAUGAUGUAAAUGGUCCAUUGGCCUGGCAGACAGGAGACCUAGACUGAAGUCCUCUGGCCCUGAUUCAUGGGUUAAUGAAUCCUCCCUGAAGCUUGUUUUUCUCCUGUGUAAAUUGGGAUGAUCCAAUUUGCUGCCUCAAAGGAUCAUGAAAGGACUAUAAGAAGGAUAUUUAAAGUGUCCCUUGUCUUGGCAGAAGAGGGUUCUCAGAUCUAAAGUAAUUACAAGCCAUCACCACCAAAGGAGAGCAAAUGCUCCCCAUAUUAAUAAGAUUCAUGGCCCCAGGUCAUUUUGGAGGGAGGGCAACAGAUGAGCUGACAGGUCUCCAGCUUCCUCCUUAGCUUCUAAAUGGCAGGGAAGUAAGUAGUCAAGCAUUUUUAUUGUGAACUUCCUUUUAUAAUCCUGAGUUUGUUCUGAGCUUUUCCUCACACUGUACCUUCUUUUCUCAACUGCUAGAGAAGGUGUCUCACCCCCCACUCCAACAUGGUGAGCACUCCUGAGUCUAAACCAUGAUUUUAGGUAACACUGUUGACAUUAGGCUGGGUCAGAAAACAGCUUGGUUGCAUGGGGACACUUCCUGUCAUCAUCUUUAAGACCCAAUGCCCUAUUUUUUCCAUAAACACUGUAAUGUGGAAGUUAUUUAGGGCAGCUCUUAGGAAUCAUGGCUGGCCGGAAAAGCGAAGCUACACAGGUAGCAAGCUGGAUGCUUCUGGUGCUGAUGUCUCCCUGCAAAAGCAGCAGGGAGGUACAUCCACUGGUCUCUUGUAGGGACCACUUUGCACUGAUGUAAAUUUAUUCCUUUUGCAUUUAUCCAGCACACACUUAUGAAUGUCCUGUUUGUCGUCCCUUAGCCUCUCUGCUGCUUAGGAUGGUUUCAUUUGUUGUCUUUGUAUCCCUAGCACCUGGCCCAGAGAAAUCACUUCAUAAAUGCGUCUUGGUUCAUUAAUUGAUAGAUAGAUAAGGGCUGCCUAGACAGGCCACAGCAGGAGCUUUUCUUCAAUUCCAAAAGCCUCCGUUCUAGAGUCCAAUGACGCUCACUUUGACACAAGACUGGCAAAGGCAGCAUGAUUCUCAGAGAAAAGCUUCUGGAAUGGAAAGCCAAGAAUUUGUGUCCAUUGUUUUCUCCGUACUGAUGGCUGAUGACUCUUAUCCCUUCUCUCUUCCUUAACUCUAUGCUUUGAUGGGAAAACUGCUAUUUCAUUCCCCCCACCCACAAACCAGAUUUGGAAAGAAGUUGAUAGAAGUUUCCUUGUAAAUCUCAGCAUUUAAAAAUGUUCUCAGUCUCUAUGCACUCUUUUGCACAUAAAGAAGCUGAUCUAUCAUUGAUCCCCCUUUUGUUUAGUCUGAAUUCAGACCCCUAUGCAAUUCUUUAUGGCUAACAUCCCUCAGGGAUCCCCACAAUUAGCAAUCUUGGGCAUGGGAAAUAGAGCUUAAUUUCUGAUUGACUCCAAAUAAAGUGGGUAUGAUCUCAAGCUGGUAUGUGACAAGGAAGAGGUGUGCCUACUUUUCAGUCGCUAUGACUUUAUCAGUGAGCACCUACUAUGUGCCAUUGUGCUGACUGCUGAGGAUCAAAAGAAAAGGUAAAAACUUGGCUCCUGCUCUAAAGGAUCCCACCUUCUAAUGAAAUAGACAACAUGUAAAUAGCUAAAUGCCUACAAGACAUAUAGUAUUUCAAAGGUUAGAGGCUAUCUAUCUAUCUAUCUUUCUAUCUGUCUGUCCAUCCGUCUGUCUGUCUAUCUAUCUAUCUAUCUAUCUAUCUAUCUAUCUAUCUAUCUAUCUACCUACCUACCUAACUGUCUGUCCAUCCAUCCAUCCAUCCAUCCAUCCAUCCAUCUAUCUAUCUAUCUAUCUAUCUACCUACCUACCUAACUGUCUGUCCAUCUAUCCAUCCAUCCAUCCAUCCAUCUAUCUAUCUAUCUAUCUAUCUAUCUAUCUAUCUAUCUAUCUGUCUGUCUGUCUAUCUAUCCACCUGUCUAUCUGUCCAUCCAUCUCUCUCUGUCUAUCAGUCUAUCUAUAUAUCUAUCCAUUCAUCUAUUCUUUUUCAUCUGUGUACUAUAUAUACAUAUAUCUCCAUACACAUAAGUACAUAUCUAUAUUUGUAUGCACACAUCUGUAUUUUAUAGAUAGGUGAAUAAAGAAAGACAGACAGGUGAUAGAUAGAUAGAAGGAUAGAGAUAGACAGCUAUAGAUGGAUGGAGAGAGAGCCAGAUAGAUGGAUGGUUAGAUAGAUAGAUGGAGAUAGAAAUAUAGGUGGAUAGAUAGAUUCUGGCCUUUUCCUGUCAAGAAUAAGGAUCCCUGUUUUCUCUUGUCUUCUCUCAUUGACCUAGUAAUUCACAGGGUGUGAUUAAAUUUCUCCUUUUCUUAGGAAGCUAGAUCUGUCUUGGCAUGUGAGGCUCCUUGUGAAGCCUCAUUAAAACAAAAAUAUGAUAUGCAGCUGUGAUGUUUUCAAAUGGUGAAACAAAGGCGUUGUUUACUAUAAUAAAUAAAGCCAAAGUGUAGACCAUGUCAUCUUGACCUUUGAAUCGAAAUACUUAAAAAUCUCAGUCCAUACCUCACAUCACCAUGUCUAAAGAGAUCUGCCUAGAUUAGAGGGCUGACUAAAGCUUGUUAUUCUAAAGUCCAUUCCAGACUGGAGUUCUCUUUGCUUCUUUCCAUCUUUUUCCUCUCAUCCUUGUUAUGGUGCUGAUCAUCAGAGUUAGAAUUGUAGAAACAAGAAUCAUAUCUCUUGGGUUUGUCAUCAGGUACAUUAUCUGAUGACUAGCAUGGAGAACACAAAGAGGAACUGUAUGUGAAAAGGCUGGGAUGGCAGUUGGGAAUAUGCCUGGGAAGGGUCUGCUCUGUUAGAAUCAGGACUCCACUCUGUUGGCAGACAUUGGGAAGCCAUCACAGGCUUUUGAGCAGAGGCAGAUUAUGGUGAGAGCGAUGUAUUCAGAAGAUGAUUUGGGCAGUGUUAGAGAUAGGUUGGAGAUAUUCCAUCCAAGGGAACAGGAGGAAUGCUUGGUAUGCAAUUCUUGGAGUCUUCGAUUGAUUUUCUAUUAAAUAUGUUCCUGUUGGGUGGAAAUGAUUCAGUUCAGUUCAGCAAACAACUAAACUUUUGUUCCUAUCUGUGCCUUCUGGGGCCAAACCUUAUCAUUCAGGAAAUGCAUUAAAGGACUGAUUGUUUCCUGCCUUCAGUAAUAACAUUAAUGACCAAUAUUAAUCUGCCCCAAAAUUCUACAAGCAGCCUUCUUCACAAGGCCUCUCUGAGGUAGACAAUGCACACAUUUCCAAUUUAUAGAUCACUGGAAGUAGCUAGGUGGUGCAGUAGAUAUGAUGCCUGACAUUUAGUCAGGAAGACCUGAGUUCCAGUGCAACCCUAGAAAUUUAUUAGUUGUGUGACCCUGGACAAGUCACUUAAUACUGUUUGCCUCAAUUUCCUAAUCUUUAACAUGAGCUGGAGGAGGAAAUGGCAAACCACUCCAGCAUCUCUGCCAAGAAAACCCCUGGGGUGGACAUGGAGAGUCAGAAAUGACUGAAACAACUGAAAAAACAUAGAUGAUUAAUUCGAGGUAUUUGUUUACACAGCCUGAAGGAAUCAGUUGGGAUUUGAUCCCUGGUCAGGUCUAUGAGGUAGCUACCUAAAGUCACAUGUUAGAUUAGUGACAAAACUCUGGUCCUUCGAUUCUAAUGAUCUUCUUCUCCAUAUGUCCUCUGAUCUCGGACUCCCUCGCUGCGUUAUAAAGCAGUCACUGUCAGUUUGUUAUGUGUUCUAGGCACUCUAUAUUUAAAAACAAAAAAAAAGGCAAAGAUAUAAGUAAAACCUAAGUGAAUUUUCAUGAUCUGCUGUUAAAGGUAAUCUGAGCAUCUGGAAAGAACAUUAGAUCACAGAUUUAGAACAAGAAAAUAUUUUAUGGAAAAAAAAAAGGAAUUUAAUCUCCUCAUUUAUAGAGAGGGAAACUGAGGUAUGGAGGAGAGCUAAAAUGUGGGGAAAAGUCCCAGAAUCAAAGGAUGUCUGUUUAAAUUUUGUCUGUUAUAUGAUCUUGGAUACUUCAUUUCUUCUCUGGGUCUCAGUUUCAAAGAAUCCUAUAUUUAGGAUUAGAAGAAAUCUCAGAAGCCUCCAAGUCCAACUCCCUCAUUUCACAUUUGAGGAAACUGAGGCAGACAAAGGCUAAUUGAUUUUCCCAGAGUCAUGCAGCUGGUAAUCUGAGACCAGAUUUGAACCCAGAUAUUCCUGACUCCAGGCCCUCCUCUAUGCCUCCUCUGUAAAAUGAGGAAGUUGGAUUUGGUCAUGGAGGUCCCUUCCAACUCUAAAAAUCAGUAAUCUCUGAGGUAGGCACAGCAUCAGAGAAAAAGAUUUCGCAAAUAAAUAAAGGGGGAAAAGGACUCAUAGAGGGAAAGGGUAAGAGGUGGAGGUAGUAAAUGGUAAAUGAUCAGACUUUCAUUCAUAGGGAAGAUAGAGAGCAGGAAAUGCCUGGAGUCAAAGAAAGAAAGUGGUCACUCCAGGAGAAAACGCUGAAAGAACAAGUAAACUUUACCAACCUUGAAUUUUGCUCAAGGUCAUGAGGAUUUUUCCUUCCACCAUUGUGGCUCUUGGGCAUAUGAGGGGUUCCUGGGAAAGCUUGGUGAUCAGCAGUAGGACAUUGACAGCCCUACUUUGCAUAAUUAAUGAAUAGUCUCUGAAUUCCCCCCCAAAACAAAACAAAACAAAACAAACAAACAAAACCCUGUGGUUGAACUCAUUGUAAAGUAGUUUUUGUCCUAGAGGACUUCUUCACUUGUAUAUGAUGAUUCUACCUCAGGAAAGCUUGUGUGUGCCCUCAUUGAAAUGAAAACAUUUGGAAAGACCAAUCUCAGGGCUCUCCAAGAUCAGUAAGCAUUUAUUAAUCACUUCCUCUCUGCCAAGCAAUGGGCUAGGCAUUAGGGAUAUACAGAAAUGGGUAAAAUAUCAGAGCUAAGUAACAGCCUAGCCUGAUUGUGGAGACAACAUGGAAGCCAUCAGGUCCAUACAAGAUAGAGACAGAGUUGUUGAAGGCCAUUCCUCUCCCUCCUUCACCCCACAUGGCUGAUCGCUUUCAAGUCUUGUCCUUUCUGCUUCCAAAGUACCUCUCCCACCUAGCCCCUUCUCUCCUCUGAGUUCCAUUUAUCCUCUGAAUUUCCUCAUUUUUUUUUUGCUUGGACCAUUACUACUCUAAGAAUCUCAUGAUUGGUCCUCAUGACCUUCUCAUCCAUCUUCCACAUGGUGGCCAAUGAGAUCUUCCUUUAGGAUAGGUCCAUGUCAUCCAGCACCUGCUUGGUCAAGCUCAGAGACUCCCUAUUCCUCUGGGAUCAAAAAUAAAUACAAGUUCCUCCUUGGGGGAUUUAACUCCAGCCUACCUCUCCAGGCCCUUCAUCAUGAUCAUCAUGAUCAUCAUGAUCAUCAUUAUCAUCAUCAGUCAUCAUGGCUGGCACUGAUAAGGUUUAUAAAGCAUGUGUUAGCUCAUCAUUUCCUUCAUGAACUCUGUAGAGCACAUUACCUCAUAUUGUCUGUCAUAAGCUCAAUGGUCUGACUGUAGCUGUCUCCCUUUCUAGCACCAUGCCUGGCACAUACCAGGUGCUUCCUAAAUGCUGACUGAUUCAUUGCUCCGAGUGCCUGUUCUUUCUUCCUUCUGCUCAUCAGGUAUUUGGUCACAGGAAGCCCUCCAUUUAGGGGAUGGGCUGCAGAUGACAUUCAUCUUGGCUUAGAGAAGCUUCAGUUCCACUUUAGGAAUCUGGGAAGACCUAAAUUGAACUGAGUGGGAGGUUUCUGGUUUACCAGUUUCUGGAGGAGGAAGAGAAGGGUUUCCCCACACCCACAUUUUCCCUAGAGGCAUCUCCCUCAUCGUGGGGGUCGAGCAGAUGAUGAACUCUUAAUUGGUGUUCCCAGAGUGAAAUUCAAGAAGAUAGAUUGGGGAGAGGAGAGGGCACAAGACAGGAUUCAGUAUCUUUGGAGCUGGAAGGACAAACCCAAAGAAAGAAGUAGGAAGGAGAGAGAUAAAUGGCCUAAUUAGCCUCAGGACAGCUUUUCAGGGAAUUGGUUUAAGAAUGCUCUAGCUCUUCUGGAAGAAAAGUUAAAGAUAACUUUAAGAAGAUGGAGUUACAGGCUUAUUUCUGCAAUGAUGAGUGCCAUUCUACAGUGUAUCCUCUUCCACUCCAAAACUUGGCAGUGACUCCUUCCCCAGGCCCCUGGUAUCUACUGUGUAAAUAUUUAAAUUUGUUCCUCCUGUCUCUCACAGCCAACCUGUAAGCUCCCUGAGGGCAAGGACUGUUAAUGCAGUUUUUAUAUUUGCAACACUUAAACAUAAUGUUCUUCACACAGUAUACAUUUAAGAAAGGAUUGUGGAAUUGAUUAAUACAAAGACGAUAGGACAGUGAAGAGACUUCAGUUAUCCAGACAGCUUCUUGAAUAAUUUUUCCUACUCUCUUCCUGUCUCUUUCCCUCCUUUCUCUUUCUGUUCUCCCUUACCUCUAUCCCUCCUUUCUCUUUCCCAUCUUAUUUUUCUCCCUUUCUAUUUCUUCCUCCCUCUUGCUCACACUCCUUCCCUUCCUUUCCCCUUGUUUCUCCCUCUUUCUCCAUUUCUUGAUCUCCCACUCUUUCUCUUCCUCCUUCUCAUCUUUUGUCCCUAUCCUUCCUCUUUGUUUCUCCCUGCUCAUCAAAGCAAAAUGACUGAUAAUUAUCGACUUUCUUAAAGGAUAUAUUAAAUUCAUUCAUCACAGACAAAAGAACCACCAAGAGCAAAAUUCUUUUCUGGGUGUAAUUGUCACCAAUGGGGGAAAGUAGUUUAGGAUAUGCUGGGAGACAUGAGAUCCACAAACACUUUAUUUUAUAAUUUGUGACAGAGGAGAAGAAACCCUAACAUAGUAAGACAAGCACCCUAGAUUUGGGGAGAGCAUAUUCAAAGAGUUGACAGAGCAGAUCCUAUGGACUAAGAUUUUAUCAAAGAAGUCAGCCCAGGAGGCCACAGGAAGUGUCUUAGAAUGAAAUUUUGAUAAUACGAAGAGAAAUAGCUUCUGAGAGAAGAAAGGGAGAUUCUGAACAGACAGAAGUGGCCACCUGAAGAAUACAGCAAGUAAUUAUUUGGGGGAUUUUUAGAAGAUACUGAGAGAAGAAGUAGUGCUGCAUAGUGGAUAGAAAUUACCUUAGAACCUGUGUAAUCUGGGUUCAAGACCACCUCAGAAACUGAACUAAAAGUAAGGCAAUUCUAACCCAUGCAGCAACUAACUCAUUCUUUAUUACUUAUGCAAUUUACCUGACUUUUCAGGAACUAAAUUUCCUCAUGUGUAAAUGGAGGGGAUUAGAUCUGGUCCAUAAGUACAUAUCUCUUUGAUAAUCAGGGGAAUGAGCUGGGCUCAGAAUUGGACAGGAAGAAAAGGACAGGUAGGAUUCUAUUUGGAAAAUUGUGCAGUACAACCAAUAAUAUGAUUCCAGAUGGUUCCUUGCAGCAUAACUUGUUGAUAUCAAUAUUCUCCUGGCAAUACUGGAGGUCUAUGAGUCAUGGAACACCAUGAUCUCAGUAGUUUCAUUAUCAAGGGUGACCUUAUGGAAAGACGCAUUGUGGUGUAGGCAAUGACAACAUUGCCCAGUAUGAAUUUAUUCAUGAAUAUGUGACAUAAAAUAUUGUAUUCAAGAACGUUGCGAUUGGCAAAGGAGGUGGGCAGAUAGUAUCCUUACUGUGUACCAAAUACUGGGCUAAGCACUAGGAAUACAAAAAUAAGCAAACCAAACAUCCCUUGUCUUCAAGAAACUUACAUUCUAUGGAGGGAGAUAACAUAAAAAGGGUAACUGGGACAGGGGUAGUGGGAUAUAGUUUGAAGAUGAUUGGGAAUUGGAUUAAGCACCUAGAUCCAGGCAAUAUCAGCCUAAUGCUCCCUUCUGUAAGUCUAGAGAGGUGGAUGCAUAAUGAGCCCAAUGGUGCCACUGUGUAUGCCACCUGUUGUGGAUUUGGAAGGAAGUAGAAUGGAGGCCUGGUUCUGGGCAAGAUCAAAUUAAACCUUAUCUAUCAGAGUCUGGUGUCUCAGCAGAAGGGUCCAAGUUUCCCGUACUGGGAUGAGGAGAAGGAGAAUGGCCAGAGUGUGGGCGACAUGUCAUGGCAGCCUGAAUGAAGUCAUGGGUCUUGUUCAAAAAGCCAAACUCAAAUAGUUAUAUGGUAUCAAGUCAAGAAUCUGGACAAGUUGCUUCAAUAAGAUCUACUUCUUGGCCUCAGGAAUUCAUCCUUAUGGGAAAGGAUAGAGACAUCUGGAGAAACAACACCAGAAUCUAGGCCCUUGUCUUUCUCUUACCCCCCACGUCUAUCCACCCCCAACUCCUCAACCUUUCACCUGAGAGUUUCUAGUUUGAAGAUCUGAAAUGAUUCUUCUAUUGUUUUUCCUUUUGUGGCACAAAACCACAAAAUUAUUAACAUAAUGGUAGCUAGGUACAGGUGCCAAGCUAUUUUUAAACAUUCAAAUCAGCCAACGCCUACUCCCCCCAAAUUAUGAGCUUUCAUUUUACUUAAAGGAAAAAAAUGCCCAUGUCAUGUUAUAUUUUCUUUACAAGACAUUUUUCUUUGGAGUCUUUAGCCAUGGACGUGUCAGCCAUCUGGAAUUCUGUACUUGGUUAAGUGAUGCCACCCAAAGUAUCUGGACUCAGCCUAUGACCUCAUCUCCUGAGCAGAGACUUGAUUCUGGCUUCUGUUGCCAUAGCAAUAGAAGUUAGGACAUCCAAUCUGAAAGGCCUUCAUCCUACCUGCCUUCUAAUCUCGUUUGCUUAUUCUGCCUAGGUAUGGAGGAAGUUAGAUUUUACUAUUGAGCUCCCAGCAUCCAGUAUAAGACCUUAUAUAUAUAGUGGACACCCAAUAAUCAUUUGUUGAAUUUAGCUCAUUAGAAUUACUAGGAUGAUGAGAAUAACAGUAACAAUAUAAUUUACUUUGUACUUUAAAGUUUGCAAAGUGCGUUACAAAUUUUAUCUUAUUUCAAUCUUGCAACAACCCUGGAAGUAGGUGUUAUUAUUUUUACCAUUUUAUACAUGGGGAAACAAUGACUUGCCCACAGUUACAUAAUUAGUAAAUAGUUGAAACUGGAUUUGAAUUCUGGUCUUCUUGACUUCAAAUCUAGCACUCUGUUCACUGUGCCACAGACAGUUACUGGAUCUUCCAUCUGUGUUUAUUCAUGUAAUAAGUAAUAACUGACCAUUAUGUUCCUUUCCUUUGCUGUAGACAUCGGUACCUAACUUGUCAUAGAAUUUCUGUUUUCCUUCAAAACUCAUCUCAAGCAGCAUAUUACCCAUUGAGCCUUUCCUGAUCUCUGCAACUGCUAUUGUCUCCCUCCCAAUAUUACCUUGUAUUCCUUUCUAUUUAUUUGUAUUUAUUUUCCUCAUAGUUAUUCUCUUUAUUUAAUACAUUUUAUUUAUUUUUAUUUAAUUAUUUAUAAUUAUAUAUUUAUAUAUGUAUAUAUAUUUAUAAUUAAUUAUAUUUAAUACAUUUUAUUUCAUUUAUUUAAGAAAUAAAUAAGUGUUCUUUAUUCUCUGCCUCUUUAUUUAUUCCCUUCAUCUUUAUUAUGCAUUUAACGUUCUUUUUUGCCAUCGGAAUUUAGUCUUCAGUGUAGGGAUUGUUGUAUCCCCAGUGCUGACGUAUGGGUGGCAUUUAAUAAUGCUCACUGAUUGAGCAUAGAGGAACAUCCUUUGAAUUUACUUAUUCCCUUUUCUCCCAGGCCAUCACCAGUCACUGUGACCUUCUUCUUGCCACUGGACUUUGAUGACUCUGGAAGAGAGAGUGAGGCUGAGAACUUUAUGUAACUCAGCCUCACAUAGACCCAGCUUCUGUGCCUGUCAAGACAUCACCUCAUGGUGUCUUCAGUCCUCUUUGGAAAGGGAGGACAAACAGAAUUCUUUCUUCUAGACUAUUAAAGUUGUGAAAUAAUCAAUAGCAAUUCAUUAAAGACCUGGUAUGUGCCAGGCAUCGUGCUCAGCACUGGGGAUACUGAUAGUCUCUCUCCUCAAGGAACUUCUACCCUAUUGGGGAAGACCAUGCACACAACAUAUAAAUGUUUCUAUGGAUAUGUAUCAUAGAUAGCAUAUAUACGUACAUAAGGUAUCUCCCCCAUAUAUAUAUAUGUGUUUAGGUGGAUAUAUACAUAUAAGUAAGUAUAUAUAUACAUAUGUGCAAUGUAUAUGCAACUAAUAUUUUAAUGCAUGUCAUAAAAUACAUGAGAUACCAAGGGAAAUCAAUUAAGUUGAAUUACUAUUGCAUACUUAUCAAAAUAUGUAUUCUUUAAGAGCUAAGUUCACUGGCCCUUGGGUAAAGAAAUACAUUAGAGGGACAAGGUGUGAUUAACUGUAGAAAGCAUAGAUCUCCUGUGUCACUGGGGACAAGACUGGGCUUUACUGUACUCCUCUAUAAAAUGAAAGAGUUGGACUUCCUCAUAGUUCCCUUUCAGCUCCAAAUCUAUGCCUGAGAUCCCAGGAUUUAGAACUGAAUUGAACCUCAGAGGUCCUGUAGUCUAACCCCCAUUUUACAGAUGAGAGAGUUGCCAUCUGAUUUUUUCAUUUUCCACAAAGUCUGACACUUUGAAGAGUUCUUUUUUUUUUUUUCAUGUUGGGAGUUGACUGGAGUUUCUAUCAUUGAGUGAAAUCUUAAGCAUGCUUUGUUUCUUGUCUUAGCUAGGGGAUCAGAGGAGGUUGUGAACAAGGGUAGUGGAGAAUGUGGUUAGCCUGGUGAAGUUACAGACAAGAGGAAGAUUGUAGUUACCCAAUCUGCCAGAGAGGGACCAGAGGUAUGAGAAUAACUUGAAAAGUCUAUGAAGUAUGCAGGUAAAAUUUUACCAUGUUGGUAAUAAUAUUGGAGAGAGGAGAGAAGAUAGAGUGGUAGGCGUCAGGAAUUAAGGAACAACGGGAGCAGACAGAAGGCAUUACUCUUUAGAAUUAAGGGAGCAAUAUGGGAAGUAGGAGUAGGUAAGAGAAAUUAGGAACACAAGGGGAAAAUGUUGCCAAGGACUUUAGCAUGACCUUUAUUUUAUUUUAUAUUUAUUCAUUUUUUUUUGCCCAAUACUACUGGUGUGUGUGAGUGUGUGUGUGUGUGUGUGUGUGUGUGUGUGUGUGUGUGUGUGUGUGUGUAUGCAUGGAUACUUUGGGGACUUCCAUUUUGAAGAAAAGUACUUUCAAUGAGAUCGAAGCUGUUAUGGAAGGAAUGACAAGGCUGUGGUUGCUCAUUAGGGCCAAUCACAGCCUCCUUGGGGAGGUGGGGGGAGACAGGAAGAAGACAUCUAUGUUUGCCAAGUCAUAAACGGAAGUGUAAUGUGAUGAUUCAGACUAUUAAAUUUAAUAUGAGAUAUAAGGAAGCAUGAGGCUUAAGCUGGUAGCCACUAAAUUUGUUCAAAGGAAAAAAAUAAAUAACUCACAGAAGUAUGCAAGGCUGGGCUCUGGCUGAAGUCCUAGAAGUUAUUCAUGCUGUUAGACAGGGUGAACACACUCAAGAAACGUGAGCCACAUCGAUGGGGAAAUAGAUAAAGAAAAUGUGGCACAUGAAUGUAAUGGGAUAUUGCUGAUCAACAGGAAGGAUUCAGAGAAAAAUUGGAAGAGUUGGAUGAACAGAUGCAAAGUGAAACCAAUAGAAUGAGGAAAACAAGAUGCACAAUGAAAAAAUUAAAUACUUUGUAAUCGUAAUGACUAAGAUUGGCCUCAGAAUUUACUUUGCUCCCUUGAAUGUGGAGGUAGGUACUAUGUGUACACAAUUAGACUUGGUCAAAAUGUUAAUUAAUUGUGCUGACCCGCUUUCUCUAUCACUCUUUUUAAUCUUUUGGCAAGAGUCAGCUUCUUAAGGAGAAAGAGGUUUAGAAAAAAAAUAUAUGAAAAAAAGAUAAAAAAGAAAUCCAAUUGUCUCGCAGUAGACUUUUGAACCAUUUAUCAAAAUACUCAUUUUUAAUAAGUCGACCAAGUGAUUAAUGCUAUAGAUCCUCCCUUUAGAGUCAUUGUCCUUAUUGAAAUCUAGCCUUUUUUUCUGAGAAACAGAGAAAAUUCCUGUCAUUUCAGUUCCACAAAUCAUAUUGUUUAUUUAGAUUGUACUUUUAAAAACCAUUUUUAACAUUAAAAUAACUCACUAAUUGAGCCAUGCAUAUUUCAAGAUAUUUAUAGAACAAAGGUUGACAAUGAAGCUCAGAUGGAAUCAUCUGCUCAAUAUGUUUUAUAAAACUUCAUAUAUAUGUGUAUAUAUCUAUAUAUCUCUCUCUAUAUAUGAAUGUCAAUUACUAUCAAAGUUGUCGGUAUGUUGAGGCUGAGGCAAAAUUCCUGUUCUUAAACUAAUUGUGGCACAUUGGAAAGAGUGCUGGAUUGCUAUAGCUUUUGUUGUAGGAAAUGUAUUGGAUAGCAGAUGGUUUUCUGGGAAUAUGGUUUUACCUGUAUGGGUCCCUCCUUCAACUUUCAGCCUCUUUCCUGAUUCUGGAUUUAAUGAAGCAGGAUUUAGUCCCUUAUGUAUGUAGCAAGAGUAUAAGGAAUAAUGAUUUAUUUAACUCCUAUUGUGUGUCAACUGUGGCAAGUAUUUUGCAAAUGUUAUUUCAGUUCAUCUUUGCAACAAUCCUGCAAUGUAGAUACUGUUAUCAUCCCCACUUUACAGUUGAGGAAACUGAGGAAGAUUAAAGUUAAAUGCUCAGGGUUACACAAGUAUGAAAAGUCAAAUUUGAACUCAGGACUUCCUGGCUUUAGGCAUCAUCUACCUUUAGUUCUUUUUUUAAAACCCUUACCUUCUGCCUUAGAAAGAACAUUGUGUAUUGGUUCCAAGACAGAAGAGCAAUAAGGACUAGGCAGUGGGGGUUAAAUGACUUGCCCAGAGUCACAUAGCUAGGAAGCAUCUGAGGUCAAAUUUGAACCUAGUACCUACCAUCUCUGGGUCUGACUCUCAAUCCAAUGAGCCACCUAGUUGUCCCUGUUCUGGUCCUUCCCAACUCUAGCUUUCUUAUCCCAGAAUUCCUUUAGUUGAUUUCCCACCUAACGGUGGAGAAGCUCAAUUAAUUGGUCAUAAUUUACUAAGCACCUUGGAUGUGCCAAACACUUGAUUAGGACUUAGGAUAGAAAACAAAAAUGAAACAACCCCUUACCCUAAGGACUUUACAGUCUUAGGAAAAUAAUAUGCUCAUUAAAAAAUCUAUAUUUUAAAUAGAAGGCAUUUUUGGUAGUAGUAUUGGUGGUGGCAGGCAAUGCAGAUAGGUAGGGAUGGUGAAGAAUCAGGAGAGUCUUCCCAUAGGAGAUGACCAAGAUAAGGUCUACAUGGGGCUGAGAGUUCCAAAACAGAAAGUGAAGGAAGUACGAGCCUCUGAAAAUUCCUUCCAGCUCUUUAUUUGGGACUAAGACCUAAACUAGUUCUGGCUCUCAGGGUUCCCUCCAGCAAAGAGGUCAGAGGGGAUAAAGAGUAUCCAUGCCAACUUUCCAUCAGCAGAUGUCAAGUGAAAAUUUUGGACUUUCGAAACACCACUUAACAUCAUUAGAAACAAAAGCUUCCUGUUUCAGGAAGAGAUGAAACAAACUUAGUCAUGAAACUUGAUUGGAGGUAGCCAAGUAACAAGAGCAAUAACAAAAAUAGUGGUGGGUGGACAGAGAAUAGACCUUGGAACCAGGUCAUGCUUCUGAUACAUCUUCUUGUGUAACCCAGGCUCAGGCCCUCCCCAAGCACUAUUCAGUGCUUAGGCAUCUCUCAAAAACUCAGCUGCAGAGAAAGUGCUGACCCACAUUGGUAGAGGGAAUUUCCUCACCUGGGAGUUCCCUAUACCAGUGAAAUCACAGGCUACUUCCAAUCUUCAUGAUUUUCUUUGGUGCUCCCCUAGAGUUACCAAAUAAUGUGUCAGGGAUUCCCAGCUUUCCCUCUGCAUUUGUAAGUAACCCAUAAGUUCUUCUAACAAAGAAAGAAAAGAGAGGAUUUGAUCCAUCCAACCUCGAAUGCAUUUUCUCUGUUCUACCCAGAUGAAUGUGUCCUUUUUUCUGUUACUGCCCCUGAGUAGCUUUUUUUUUGGUGCCAUUGUUUAGUGCCCAACAUCUCUCCUCAUCUUCCCCUUUCCUGCUUUCCUCCUAAUCAUCUCCACCAUAUUCCUUGUUCAAGAUGAAUCAUAGGCAUGGGGUUCCUCCAUUUUUCUCCUACAGCUUUUUGUCUUUGUUCCUUGAAAUAAUGGGCUUGUCUAGUUCAACACAAGCUGUACCUGAAGGAAUAACAGCUUAUUCUGCCAUCAUUUUUCUUUAAAUACCCUUUGUCAGGUUGGAUCCGUGAAGCUGUAAAGGUUAUUCCACUAAGUAGCAUGAGUCAUCCUUUUUGUUUCUAACCUUUGGAUAAACACUCUCUACAGCUUCAUCUACUAGAUCUGGAGGGAUUAAAGUUUUAGGGGUUUGAGUUUUUUUUAGUAUUUCUGAGAUUUUUGUGAGACUUCUUAGUAAAGUGCAGUGUGAAAUACGUGGGAGAGUGUGGGUCUGGGUGAAACAGGACUUGGGUUUGAAUCCCUGAUCUGUGUGACCAUGAGUAUACAAGUUCACUCUCCUGAGCCUCAGUUUCCACAUCUGUAAACUGAGAGGAUUGGAACCAAUGGCCUCAGAGGUCUGUUCCAGCUCAGAAGGCAUGGUCCUAUAAGGAAAUAUGAAAAUAGAAUCUUCUAAAAAAUUCAGCCAACUUCUAAACCUUUGAGUGUGAAUUUUACUUCUUGCUGGGAAAUAUUGAGCUUUGAAUACAGCUCCUACAUACUAACCACCUGGAUGAUUUCCUUUUGUGGGCAUAAACCUGUUCUUCUUGGGGGCCUCAGAUGAGCAUAUUCCCUUUCCCCUCCUCCCAAAUGAAGACUAGAGAUUUUUUCUUACAUUUAUUCUCCUCUGGGGGUAACUGCCAUUGGUUUCUUACAGAAAUGUCAAGGAUGUGUUUUUAGGUUCACAAAAGCCACAUGUCUCAGGCACAGCCUAUGAAGGGGAGCCUGGUGGAAUGAUUUACAUUGCACAAAAAUACUCCAGUUCAACAAUUUUCAAUGGAUGAAAUUCAUUCUGAUGGGGUUUUAUUGUUGAUGUUGUUGUGGUAAGAAUGAGGGGUAAGAAUGAGGGGUUUCUUCAUUAGUUGUCCAUGAGUGAUUCUAGAUUGGGGUUGUUCAUCCUUUUUCUAACCCAUUGCCAUCAUCAUUUUAAUAAUUUCUCAUGUAAAAAUGGACUAAAGCAUUUUUUACUUUUGGAUGGAGGGGGGGGGGUAGGGGAUGGACUGAAUUGGCCCAGACUGGAAAUGGUAUUCAAGGACCCAGUGUCCUCUGUUGGGAUAAUGGUCUAGUCACAAUUGACAUUCUCUUCUUUCCUUUGAAUCGACCUGGCAUUUCAUUGGCUUUGACGCCUGUGGCUUUCCUCUCAGCUCUCCACUGAGCAACGGAGACCUGUUUCCUUUAGAAGUUACCACUAAUUUGAGAGCCAGCAGUGUACAAAGGUGACUUCUCUUGUUCUUUUGUUGGCCUUCCGUGGGAGCUCUCCAAGGUGACUUAGGCUUCCUGGGCUGGUCUUUCAGCUGCUGUGUGUUCAGGGCGGUUAUGUGGGCUUUUGUAUGAUUGCUUUCCAUUCACGCUGAUAUUGGUCAUUUCUUUCUGUGUCCUUUCUUUGUCUUCACUCUUUCUCUUACCUUUUGGUCCAUUCAUUCACUCAACAAAUGUUUAUUAAGCUUGGCUUGCUAAAAGCACUGUGCUGAGGGCUGGGAGGAGAUUACAGAGAUAAUAAUUAUAUGCUAGGCACUGUGAUAAGAGCUUUACAAUUAUUAUUUCAUUCAAUCCUCACAACCACCUUGGGAAGAAUUAUCUUAUUUUAACAAUGAGGAAACUGAGGCGAAUAGAGGUUUAAUGACUUGUCCAUGAUAACACAACUAGUGUCUAAGUCUGGAUUUGAACUCAAGUCUUUUUAAAUUUUAAAUUUGUUUAAAUAAUUAAUUUAGAAUAUUUUUCCAUGGUUACAUGAUUCAUGUUCUUUCCCUCCACUCCUCCCUCCCCCCUCCCAUAGCCAAUGAGCAAUUUCAUUGGGUUUUAUGUGUAUCAUUGUUCAAAGCCUAUUCCCAUAUUAUUAAUAUUUGCAGUAGAGUGAUCGUUUAGGAUCUACAUCCUGAAUCAUAUCCCCAUUGAACCAUGUGACCAAGCGGUUGUUUUUCUUCUGUCUUUCUGCUCCCACCAUUCUUUCUCUGGCUGUGGAGAGCGUUCUUUCUUGUAAGUCCCUCAGAAUUGUCCUGGGACAUUGCAUUGCUGCUAUUAGAGAAGUCCAUUACAUUUGAUUGUACCACAAUGUAUCAGUCUCUGUGUACAAGUCCACUGACUCCGCUUCUUGAGUCCACACUCUAUCCACGGUGCCACCUGACUACCUUCUAUUAGAUAAGGCAUAGCAUUGUUUGACCUCAAAACCUGAAGUCUUUUAAGGGUUUAGUACACAUGCACACUACACCUCAAUGUGCUUACUAUAUGAUAAGUCUAUUAGAGAGAUACAAAUUCGUCAUGGAAACAAAGGGACAUAGACCCAGGAGGGAAGAUUGUUAAUUAAAAGGUUAUUCAGUGUUUUUAAUUAAUGCCUAAAUUUUUAAAUUAAUGAUUAAAACAUUUUGCACAGUGCCUGACACAGAAAAGGCACUAAAUAAGCAUUGAUGAUAAUAAUGAGGAUGAUUAUAAAAAUAAUAAUAGUUAGCAUUUAUAUGGUGGAUACAUGACCCAGACAUUACCUGAGGCACAUUACAAAUAUUUCAUCUGAUUCUUACAGCAACUAUUAGAUAUAGAUGCUAUUAUUAUCCCUAUUUUAUAGUUGAGGAAACUGAGGCAAAUAGAGGUUUAAGGUUAAGUAACUUGUCCAAAGUCCAUUACAGGUGUCUGAAGUAAGAUUUAAACUCAAGUCUUCCUGAUUCCAACCCAACCAUUCUAUCCAUUUCAGCACCAGCUGAAACAAACCACUUCAUCCCUCUGGAUCUCAGUUUCUUCAUCUAUAAAAUGAAUGGGUUGGACUAUGAUCUUUUCACCACUCUUCCAAUCUUCCACUGUGAAACUUUCCUAAAAAUUUCCUGUGAAAAAUUUCACUUUGACUUUGAGAAGUAUCUUGAUUAAAAGACUUCCAUUUUCCUAAUAUAUUUGGAACUUAAUUAGAUUGGAAUAUUUCAAAGAAUAACUGUGGUAUCAUAAAUUGGUUAUGAUAAAAAAUAUCUUCAAUGUUUCAUCCAGAAUAUAAUUUUUAAGUUUCUUAGAUGAUCCCAUCUUCUAGGCUUCUUUAAAAAAAGUAUUUUACAUUUGGCAUCUGGAUAUUGCCAGGAAAUAACCACUUUGGCAUAUCAAAGGGAAAAGCACAUUUCCCCCUGAAUUUCAGUCAAAGUGGCAUUAACAUCUCUCCUUUUUACCAUAGUAUCUGCUCUCCUCUUUACCAUAAUAUGGAAACGUGUUCUUGUUAAGGGCAAUUUUGCCUUGUAGUUCCAUCAAAAGCACUUUCUUAAGUGCUCACUCUUGUAUUUUGCAAAUUUUUAGUGGUUUCCAGGAAGAUGGAGCUAAACAAAUUCUCCUUUCCUUCGUACAUCUCCUCCCCUCAUAGAUCUUACAAUCACUAUUUCUCAGGGCAGUGGAGUCCAUUUCUAAAGUGAGUCGACUCUCAACCACUCCAUCAGCACUGAAAUUCUGGACUGCUCAUUAGACUAAUCCAGUUUUGGUUGCUUCCAGCAGUUAUGGUGCCAGCCUCAUUUUAGGAGUCGUCGCAGAUCAUCAUGCACAAGUGAACAUGGUGGAGAUGAGAACCAUUGAGUUGUUUCAGAUUUUGCUUAAGGCACUAAUGAAAUGCUUAGAAAAGAGAAAUCCUUGAGAAUAUUAUGUGAUAGAUGAAUGUACUGGAUCAUGGAAAGCCCUCAGCAAGGCAUAAAAAGAUGUAUCUGAACUGAUAGUAAAUGAAGCAGGAAUAAGAAAGCAAGAUGGCCUGAAAUAUCAGUAUUCCAUAAUUAUAAAGACCACAUGAUUGUACAUUGAGAACUAGAUGGGACCUUAGAGGCCAACCCCAUCAUUUUACAAAAGAAGAAAGCAAACCCAGAAGCACUUGUGUGGCUGAUGUAGAUUCACAGCUAGUUUUUAUCUGAGGUGGAAAGUCAGGGGGUGCAAUGGAUGGAAUUCUGGUCCUUCAGUCAAGAGGACCUGAGUUUAAAUCCAGCAUCAGACACUUACUAGCUGUGUGACCCUGGGCAAGUCACUUAGUUCUAUUUACCUCAGUUUCCUUGUUUGUAAAAUAAGCUGGAAAAGGAAAUGACAAACUGCUCCAGUAUCUUUGCCAAGAAAACCCCCAAGUGAGGUCAUGAAGAGUCAGACAUGACUGAAACAACCAAACAACAGUAACAUGUAUUUAAGGUGGGAUUCAAACCCACGUCUUCCUGACUGCAAUCCCAUUGCUUAAGCUCACUUACUGUGAACUUAAUGGAGAAAAUUCUCCUUUUUCCCUUCAUUUGUGAGCUAGGGGAAUAGGGAUACAGAAUAAGAAUAUGUUAUGGAUUGAUAUGUUGGUUAGUUUUGAUGAACUCCCUCUUCCUCUAUUAAACAUUAUUUCAGGGGAAGAUAUUAGGUAGAGAAGAGGGAAGAAUACAUUUGGAAAUGAAGGUGAAAGGAAAAUAAAAGAUGUCAAUCAAAAUACAAUUUAAAAUUUUUUGAAAAUUGGUUUUUACCAAAAUAGUUUUUUGAUAUAUUUUUUCUAAAAAAGAAACAUAACUUUUUAUCCUAAAAUAUUUAACAUUUCAAUAGAUUGUCAAACCUGAUCUAAGAUUAUAGAAUGAAUGUGUAGCUGGUGUGAAAACAGGGAAAAAUUAAAUGAAAAAAUCCAAGCCAAAAUGUGUGCCCCUAUCGAGCUCAGCUAGGCAGGAAACAGAGCGCUUAUCUACUAACAGUAACCAUAGCAACUGUGUGAUGAUUAUUUUCAGCACAGAAUUAUAUAAAACUGAGAGAGAGUGGAGACCAGCCCUGUCUGCACUUACACCACGUGUUUUUGUCUGAUAUGGAGUAUGGUGAAUGGAUAGGGGCCUCCCGCAGAGGCAAUUUGCUUUUUCAAAAGCCCUAGUCAAGCUGAGUAUCUUUCGAUUUCAUGAUGGGUAAAUGUUACUGUAUGGAAGGAUUAGAGCAUCUUGAACCUAGAGGGCCAGAAGAGGCUGCAAAGGUCAUUUAGAGCAACACCCCCAUCUUAGAGAUGAGGAAACUGAAGUGUAGAGAAUUGGGUGAUGUUACAUGGGUAGAAAGCAUCAGGGUGGGAUUUGAAUGAGAGUCCUCUGACAUCAAGGCAUCUCCCCUUUACUGCCUAACAUGGGAUUCAAUGUUUUAAAAAUGAGUCAAUGUGGCCACACUGUUUUGGAGAUCCCAUUUGAGUUCUGUCUGAACCCUGCAAGUACAUUUUGGUAUAAACCUGAGCAUUGGCAAUCUGAGCAAAAGCCAACACAUUUUUUUGCUCCUUACCAAACAAUUAUUUCUUCUGUGGAUUCUAUUUAAGGGGGAUAAUUAUGCAGAGAAUAAUGUUUUGUUCUUAGAUCCCACUCACCACUAUUUGACUUUAGGCAAGUCAUAUCCCUGGGCCUCAGUUUAUUCUUCUGUAAAAUGGGACUUGGGGGUAGAGGAUUCUAAGAUCUGUUCCAGCUGUUCCUCCUGAGGAUUGCCCAUUAAAGUAGAACCAGCCAGAGCUCAUCUCUUCCUUCUUCAUUGAGAAGAGAGAGGUAGUUGUGUCUUGGCCAGAUAAUAGUGAUUCAAACCAGAAUCUACAUUUACAAGCCCUGAGACCAUUUUGUCCUUUUUUCUGUUUCUUCUUCAUUUAUUUAUAUAAGUUGAACAGUCUGCUGCAUAUUUUUAAUUUCAUCAGACCUGCUGCCUCUGUCACAGCUUGCCCCCACCAAAUCUCUUCUUGAAGAAAGCAAAAAACAAAGCAAAAGAAAUCAUCAUUAGCCUUCUCUUCUCUCUCUUACUUUGUCCUUUUCCUUUGAGAAUAGCAGCAUGUCUCUGUGUCUCUGCCUCUGUCUAUCUCUCUCUCUUUCUCUCUUUCUCUGUCUCUCUCCCUCCCUCCUAGACUCCCCUAAAGCUUCUUGCCAGUCCAGCCUUUGAGUGUUUGAGUAUGUGAGUGUAUGUGCAACACAGAAUAUUAAAGGUAUAAAGAUCUUAGAGUAUUAAGGAUAUAAGAGACAGUAGAAAACAUCUUCUUUAAUUUUAUAGAUAAGGAAACAGAGGUCCAGGAUCAAUAAUGCAUACAUAGACUUGAAACUGGAGAGGACCAUCUAAGCCUGGCCCUGUUCUUUUAGAAAUGAGGAAAUAGGGACCAGGUAAGUCAAGUUCACUGCCCAAGUUCAUACAGGUAGUAAGUGUCAGGGAUGAAAUUUGAACCCAAGUGCCCAGGCUCCAGAAUUAGUACUCUAUCUACAUUACCAGGCUAAAGGCUAGAGAGAAAGAAGAUGAUUUCUUGGACAAGUUUCUAGAAGAGGUGAAAGGGGAUAGAGUCAAGGUCAAAGGUGGAAGGCUUGACUUUGGCAAGGAGGAGGGUCAUUCUAGCCUGAGAACAGAAAGAAGAAAGGACAAAGGAAGACAUAAGGAGAUAGUGGCAUGUGAACGGAAGAUUGAGGGAAGUUGGAUUUAUUGCUUUUUAUCAUUUUAGGAAGAUAGGCAAAAAGAUAGGAUAAGGUUGGUGUUGGAAACUCAAGGAAGGAGGAGAAAGUUGACAAGAUUCAUGAUGAUUAAGAUAUUCAGCUGAGGUGACCUUGAUUUGGGUUGGGUAGUCAUUGACUUGGUCCAGUCAUAUUCUACCAGUUGGGAGCAAGAGACGAAAAGGCAGAAGAUGGGGGCUGUCCAGGGCAGAGUCAGCAGGAUAGGACUAGACAGUGAAAAGGAUGAGAGUCAAUGUGAUAUGAGGUGGGUCAUUGAAAUAGUGGACUAUUCAGUCAAGACUAUGAAGAAUGAAAAGAGAAUCAAGAAAUUAAGGGAUGAUGCCUUGAGAGAACAGGGAGUGAAAGAAUUAGCAAAGUUCAUGAUGAGGAUAAAGAACAGAUUUAAGAAGAGCAAAAGCUGAAGGAUAGGAGGACAGAGAGCUUAUAAAAUAAGUCAGUCCCAGGUAACUUUAAUUAGAAAUAAUGAACAUUUAUAAGGUUUGUAAAGUGCUUUCCAGAUAGGAUCUCAGUGAUUUCCUCUGCAUCAUCCACAUUUUAGGCACUUGGGGAAUCCACUGGCAAUUUGCUCCUCACCAUCUGUUCUACUAAGCUAGUGUUUUUUUUUUAAUCCUUACCCUCUGUCAGAGAAUCCACUGAAUCAAUGACACCUUAGUUCAAAUUCAGUCUCAGGCACUUACUAGCUCUGUGACUGGGAAAGUCACUUAACCUCUGCCUGCCUUAGUUUCUUCAUCUUUAAAAAAUGAAGAUGAUGAUAAUACCUAUUCCUAGAGUUUUAUGAGGAUUAAAUGAUGUAAUAUUUGUAAAGUACUCUGGUAAACCUGCUAUAUAAAUGCUCUCUAUUUAUUAUUAGAAUGGCCUUUUAAUCCAAAACUGCUACUUCCUGGUCCAUUGAAAAUCUGAAGUUCCAGAAUUCUGUCCCAACAGUUUUGCAGAGCAAACUCAAUUCCUUCUUUACAGUUAUUACUUUGGACUAGAGAAUUACAUAAAAGAUUUGACUUGUGUUUUCAUUCUUCAAAAUUUAGGAUACAAUGAACUAUUUCUGACAAGCUCAGGGAGAGAUUUUCCUAUAAUUUCAAUGGGACAUUAUGCUUUUUAUCUUCCAUUUAGAUGAUUAUGUCAAUGUGUUUCCUUUGAAUGACAUUUCACAUGCUUUGAUUUAUCAGCAAUAGUAAGAGUUGCUCCAUGGUUCACUAAGAGCAUUUAAAGAGAUGUCAGUUUUCCAGCUUGUUAUUCACAAAUCUUCAGUUGCUUAUACCAAACCUCAGGAGAGAGGAAGAACUGAGGUUCUAGCCUUGAGCAGCAACCUGGAGUCCCCUGGGAUCUCUGUGUCAGCCUGAGGAGCAAAUUAAAGUGUAAUUUCUCCUUCCAUUCUAGCAGUAAAAAUUUUUGCUAAAACAAGUUGUAUCAAUGAAUUUGAUGAACCACUUUGCCCAGAAACAAUCCUUGCAAGAAGCAACAAUAAAAAAUUAAUUGAAUUGACUUUAGAUCUGAAUUUUUGAAAUGAUACAAUUUAAGAGCUGUGUUUCCAGUAUUUUUCAAAUGAAUCAUUUGGUCAAAAGAUAUCAAGGAAAAAAGGAUUCUUAAUAUAUUUUUCUAAACUGCUUCAUAUAUGCAUUAAAAUAACAUACUUAGAUGUAGAAAACCUUUUGAGAAUGAACAAUAAUAAAAUUUCCCCCCCUAAUAUUUAGUAAAUAAUAAUAUGGUCAAUUUCUUUUGAUUAUGUUGUUUUUAAUAUUCUGUCCAAGUUCUGGCUGGGGCUUGUAGAAGUAAAGAAUAUCAAAACAAACUCAAAUCAUGUCAUCUGAAAUCAAGAAAGUGAGAACACUGAUCUUUGUGACCUUGACUAAGUCAGGUCCUCAGUUUCCUCAUGUAUACUAAAUGGCCUAUACUGGAUUCUAGCUCUAAAUCUACGACUCUAUGAACUUCUUAUAUGGAGCUAGAAAUGAUUGUAGAAAUAUAGUGUUUUAAAACCUUUAAAGUAGAGAAACAGAAGAUUUCUCCAAGGAAGAAGAGCCCUGAGGCUUAGAUUCAUUGACUCCUAGAUAGAGAGCUCAGAAAGGAAACAUUUCUAUAUGUUGUAUUAUUGUAAAAUGUUUCAGAACAGUUUCAGGGAGGGUUAAUUAGUUAACAUAAGAGAUAUAAAGCUGGUUCCCCGAUAAAUUAGAAUGUAAUCAUAAAUGACAUUUGUGUUAUAUUGUUGAACAUUUCAGACUUCAUUUUUUCUAGGUAUGAAAAAAAGACAGGCACAAGGUCUAAAUUAGUCCAGAAAGAAAUGGCAAGUUUGGUAAGUUAUUAUUUGCCAAAGGAGAGAAACUAACAAAAGAAAAUUUGACAAAUAUGGGUUCAGUGUUUUCUGCUAUUAUUGUAAAUUCUUGGACCAUUUAAGUUGCAUUAUGUCUAAGAUGUUUCAGCCAUAAAAUGUUCAUGUAAGUAGUAUGAGAUUUAUUGUCCUUAAAAAAUUGGAAGUUAGGAAAUUGGACCCCAAUCUAACUCUAGCACAAAUUUCUACACAGUUAUUGACAGCUGAUCCCCAUAUUCCAAGGCAAUGAGUUUUGUUCACAAAAAAAUUGUCUUUUUGAUAAGGAUUUAGAGAGGUAAAACCCAUGAUAUCAGUCGUUUAGGGUAUUACUAAUGGAAACAUUCCUUCUACCAUUAUAGCAAAUGGACAUCUACUCUGCCAUUUAUCUUUUAGUAGCCUGGAAACAUUGAAAGGUUAAAAUACUUGUCCAAGAUCACACAAGUAUGUAUUAGGAACUCGAUGUGAAUCUAAGUCUUCUCGACUCCAAGGCUGGCCCAUUCUCCCAUGUUGCCUCCAUGUUCAUCACACACUUGGUAGGUUAUAGACUUAUGAAUGAAAGUGAGUAUUUCCUCACCUGGUCUCAGCACUGUACACCUCGGGAGCACUUAUUAAGUGCUUAGAGUUUAUAUGAGGUUCCUCUGUAGGCAAGACAUUCACCCUUAGGAAACUAUAAGCCUCUUGAAGGGAGGGAAUCUUGCCUUGCUUAUCAGUGGGAAGAGAAUCUUACACACUACAAUCUUCUUUGGCUGAUCCCCAUGCCAGGAAUAUUCUUCCUUCUCUCUUCCACCUCUUGACUUCCUUCAAGACACAACUCAAAUUCUAUCCUUGGCAAGAGACCUUUCCCAAUUUCCUUAGCUUUAGAGAUUACCUUCCAAUUACUCAACAUAUCUCAUUGUAGUUUGUAUGUUGUUUGUCUCCAUUAGCAAAUGGACCCCCAUGAAGACAAAGAUUGUAUUUCUGUCUUUCCCUAACACUUACCACAGUGCCUGGCACAUAGCACAUACUUAAUAAAUUCCUGUUGGCAGAAAAUAGAUUCUGGAAUCAAAAGACUUGGGUUUACCUUCUGCCAUUUUCUAACAAUCUGACCUUUAGCAAGUUAUUGUUCUCUAUGGACCUCAGUCUCUUCAUCUAUAAAAUGAGGAAGUUUACAUUAAAUGGCCUCUAAGGACCCUUCUAGAUAGAGAUGUGGGAUCCUCUGACCUCUCUCUCCCUCUCAGGGCUUUGCACAUAAAUGGUGCUUGAUGCAUAUUUGUUUACCAAAUGAAUGAAAUAAAGGUUAAUUUAGGCAUUAUAUUUUAGCAGCAAGGGCAUAGAAAAUCAAAGCCCUUAGAAAUCAAAUAGAACAAAAGUCCAUGACCAACCUGGAAAAUCACAAUCAUUCAAUACAAGUGGUAAUUCUUUAGUGCAUAAAUAAUUAAUAUUUUGCUUACCUCUUGAUUGGGUCUGUGGAACAAGUCACUCUAAUGAGCUAAGAAAUGGUGACUAAAGCUGCAAUUAGCUCAGAGAAUUGCUACUUUUAUUUUCCCCAGUGGACUUCAGAACACUUCUGCCUGGGUAUGUGUGCCAGCAUUCUCCAGAAGGGAGGGGCAAAGUUUAAUAUGACACAGAGAUCAGUUUCCCAGAUCUCACCAGAGCUAAUCUUUUGGGGCAUCCCAGCCUCUCUGAAACACUCAUUUCUUUUCCAAAGAGGAAUUUUUAGCUUCGCAGGAGAAAUUCAAAGCAGAUCCCUAAGCUAGAAAGGGUCAUUCCAGGUGGGACCCAAUGCCUAGCUACAAAUCCCUUUUCUCCAAGUGCAUGUGAAGCCUGACCAGUGAAGGAAGAGGAGGAAUACAGAACCUCAGUCUACAAUUCCCUUGAUACCAUCAUGGACAAGUUAAUUUUGCCAAAAUCAUAGUAAGGAGAAGAGAAAGAAGUAUAUAGCUUGUUUGCAAAUCAGCAUUAAAUGUAGAAAUGGAUGACAUUCUUGGAUUUUUACACAAAAAAAAGAGUAUCACAAGAGGUUCUUGAAUGUGAAAGUGAACAUAUGGGUCAUGCUUUAGGCAGCCAUACUCUAAAAUGGAUUUUAAAAACAUAUUUAGUGGUUAGGUAUUCCUUAAGGCACAGGGAGAUCUCCUUUGGUCCAGGGGCUUCUUUGCCUAAGGAUGAAAUUUUAUUAAAUCAACAUUGUUAGUAUUAACAAGACACUUUAACAUUUUUAAAGCAGUUUGUAAAUUUGUCUACAUAGCAACCCUAGGAGGCAGGUGCUAUUAUUAUCCCUAUUUUAUGGUUAAGUGACUUGCCCAGGGUUACACAGCUAGUCAAUAUGUUAGACUAGAUAUGCACUCAAGGUCCUCCUGUCUUCAAGUCUGAUGCUCUACCCCCUGAACCACCUUGCUGCCAUGAUCGUAGAUUUAAAUCUAGAAGGGACCUAAGUGACCAACUAGUCUAAUGCUAUCCUUUCAAAUAGAGAAUUAUACUUAAAGUCAAACAAGUAGGCAGUAUCCGAGUCAAGAUUCAAACCCAGGUUACCCCAUAGAAUCAUCAGUGAGAGGGAGGGCCUUCAAAGGCCAUCUGGUCCAACUUGUCAUCUCAAGAGGAGCUCAGGGGAGGCCGAAUGUUAUCUGGGGACAAAACAUCUGAGGUGGAAUCUAAACUCAUAUAUUCUUACCCCAAAGCAUUGGUCCUUUCCACUAGAUCACCCUGUCUGGGCAAGAAAUGGUUUCUCUGAGCCUGUUUCCUCAGCUGUAGAACGGGGACAGCAGUGCCUCUAAAUGUGCUUCAAUGGGACAUUCUGAAGAUGAAAGGAGAUAACGUACCACAUGUUCCAAAUGUGAGCCAAGAGGCACCUGCAGGGUCAUGGGUAGAGAGUGAAAUGAUUUGGAAACUGAAGGCAGUGCAUUUAGAGCCCUAAGGAAGCCCAGGAAGCAGUCUGGAGAAGGGACAGGGUGGUCUUGGAGAGAGCUGGUUGAUAGGUGACAAUUGCCAGAUCUAAUGGGGCUCUUCUAAUGGCUAGAGAAGUUUUCUCAGUAGGUGUAAAAUGGCAGAUGAUCUUCUGAACAUGAGUGAUGCUUUCUAACAGACUCCGAUAGGUGCCUGCAUUUUCAUGUAUGUUUAGAAUCAUCUGGCGAAAUGACCUCACCCCAGUCAGGAAGUCAGUGGGCUCUGGGAUCUCUCAGGAGUGACUUCCCAAGUGGAAGGUGAUCUAAGGAAGCUUCCUGGGUGUCAUUUAAAAGAAUGUAAGCUCCUUGAAGGCAGGAACUGUUUCCUACGUUGUCUUUGUAUCCAUAGUGCAAGUCACAGUGUCUGGUGCUUAGUAGGUACUUACAAUGCAAACUUACAUUUGAUGAAUCCUUCUGUCUACUCACAUAUAUUGCACAAGAUUGUUGUAGAGAGAAGCAAAAUAUUAUAUGUAUGUUCUGAAAAACAUUCACUGCUCUUGGAGUCAAAGAACCUAAGUUUAAAUCUUGCAAUUGUCAAAUAUUACCUAUAUGAUGCUGGACUGGUCAUUUUGUCACCAUCUGCCUCAGUUUCCUCAACUGUAAAUAGGGACUAUAAUAGCGUUUACCUCCCGUGUUGUGUGAGGAUCAAAGGAGAUAAUAAUGGUAAAGUGCUCCACACAGUGCCUGGCACAUAGUAGGAGCUUACUAAAUGCCUUUUUUCCCCUUUCCCCUCUUCUCUCCUUUCUCUGUGCCAGACUAGAGAUUUCUGGAUUAAGAUUUGAGGAAAUUCAGAGGCUGGGUCAUGAUGCCCUUCCAGUAAGCUGCUAAACCUUAGUGUUCUAGCAGCCCCUUUCUUACCAAGGCAUUCUUAAUUCACUGCUCUCACACUUUGGCUAUCAUUCUCCUUUUGGCCUGAGGAUGGCUGGGUUUUUUUUUCAUGUUCUAUGCAACCAUUUUCUUGCUUUUCCUUUUUCCUUCCUGCAGUGAGGCCAUCAGGGAUUCCUUGGUGAUCAGGGUAGUUAGAAAUAAUGUGAGAAUAGGCUCUUAUAAAACCCAUUUUCACUUGGAGUCUCGUCCUUCUGCCAGAGUGUCAGAGGUGUCAGCUUAGAUGGCAUGGCAUGAUUCACAACUUGGUUUAAUCUCAACUUACAAUGAGUCAGACUCAAUACUUGGGCUGAGAGGUAAGUCAAUUGGUCUGGUUGUUACUUCUGACCAGUUGAUCCACUCUUCCCUGGAAAGUUUCCCUUUGCCUUUCAAUAGCUUGCUAGAGUCUUGACCAUUUCCAUAAGAUAUGUGUCACUAUGUGUGUAGAAGCAAUCUUUGUGGGUCCCUUACUAGAACCGGCUAAAAUGGCAUGUGGGCUCAACCUGACUAUAAGUGUUUCAUUUGGUAUUUGUUAUUCUAUUCUUUCUGUCUGAUUCUUUGUGACUGCCAUUUGGGGUUUCCUUGGCAAAGAAACUGGGAGAAGAUUUUCCAUUUCUUUCUCUAAUUCAUUUUAUAAAUUUAAAAAUGAGGAAACUGAGGCAAACAGGGUGAAGUAACUUGCCCAGGGUCACACAAUUUGUUAAGUGACUGAGAUCUGAACUCAGAUCUUCCUGACUCUAGACUCAGCACCCUAUCCCCUCUGCUACCUAACCCCUGUCCAUUCUAUACAAGGCAUCCCAAAAGUCAUAGUGCCAUUUUAAGAUCUGAAAAAGUUGUAGGAUGAGGUUCUUCUCAUGUUUAAGCUGGCAUUCCCUGGUAACCAUGGCUUCACGGCUUUCUGAGAUAGCUCAAACUUGGAUGGACCACUCUUAUAUAACUAUUCCCUUCAUAAAAUAUCAAUGACCAUUUUAAAUAACUGAUAAGCACUUAUUAAAUGUACUCUGCUCUGGCUGGGUUAUACAGAAACAAAAAUAGAAGAGUCCCCAUCCUCAAGGAACUUAUAUUCUGUCAUGGAAAUAAAAUGUCCACAUAUACAAAUAUGUACAUAUAUGUAGAGACAGAUAUCAUCAAUGCAAAUUGAUUUUCCUGUGGGAGAAACAUUCUCAGCCGAGGGAAUCAGGAAAGAUCUAAUCGGGUGGGGAGGGGAAAUUUGAGCUGAGUUUUGAAAAGACAUUUGUGAUUCUGGGAGGACAAGAUAUGGAAGGCCUGGAAAGCAUGAAGGCCAACUUGGGCAAAAGUAUGGAGUUGGGAGAUAGAUGCUAUAUUUGAGAGACACUGAGAAAGACAUUUUGGGUAGACCAAGGAGCCUGGAAUGGGAAGUGGGUGUAAUUAGUUCAGAAGGCAGAUAGAGGCCAAAUUCUGAAAUUCUUUAAAUGCCAGAUAGAGUAGUUUCUUCUUAUCUUUGAGUCAAAAAGAGCACCAUUCAUGGGUCUCAGUGAGGUACUUGGGAAAAUUUUAAUUUGAAAAAAAAAAGUGUGGACAGUGGGAAGGGUGCUGGAUGUUGGAGAAGAUCUGGAUUCAAAUACAGCCUCUGUCAUUUACUGCCUGUGUGAUCUUGGCCAAAAAUCCUUGGCCUCUCUGGGCCUCAGUUUCUUUAUCUGUGAGUUAAGGGGAUAGCAGUAGAUGACUUCUUGGGUGCCUUCACUUUACAGAGGAGGAGGAGCAGGAGAUCUGAAAAGUUAAAUGCCUUGGCCAAGGAGUCAGCCAGUUCAUGAGCUCUUAGGAUAUAGAGAGGAAGAGGUCUUAGAAAUAAUCUGGCAGGAGAGCCUCAUUUGACUGAAAAGCAAAAUCAAUAGCAAGAUUUUAGGAAGUGCUAGAAGUAUCAGAAGGAGAAUAAACUAGAGGCAUAGGAAGCAGAUGGUGCUGCUGAUGCUGGUGCUGCUGUUAUUGCUGGUGAUGAAGAAAUGAAGUAGAGGCAUAGAAAGCAGAUGCUGCUGCUGUUGACAGUGAAGAAAUGAACUAGAAUCAGAGGAAGUAGAUGGUGAUGCUGCUGGUGGUGAUAUAGAAAUUAACUAGAAGCAUAGGUGCUCCUGCUGCUGCUGGUAGUGGUGAUGAAAUUAACUAGAGGAAUAGAAAGCAGAUGCUGCUGCUGUUGACAGUGAAGAAAUGAACUAGAAUCAGAGGAAGUAGAUGGUGAUGCUGCUGGUGGUGAUAUAGAAAUUAACUAGAAGCAUAGGUGCUGCUGCUGAUGCUGGUAGUGGUGAUGAAAUUAACUAGAGGAAUAGAAAGCAGAUGCUGCUGCUGUUGACAGUGAAGAAAUGAACUAGAAUCAGAGGAAAUAGAUGGUGCUGCUGCUGCUGGUGAUGAAAUUAACUAGAGAAAUAGAAAGCAGAUGCUGCUGCUAUUGAUGGUGAAGAAAUGAACUAGAAUCAGAGGAACUAGAUGGUGCUUCUGCUGCUGAAGAAAUGAACUAAAAGCACAAGAAAUAAAUGAUGAUGGUGAUAAUAAUCUGGCAUUGUAAGAUUUGCAAAGGGCUCUCGACAUGCAUUAUCUCAUUUGGUCUUUGUGGUGACUUUUAAAAUAUUCUUUGAAUCAGUCGAGAGCAAUAGAAAGAACAGAAUUCACAUAACUGAGGCAGAGAGGCAUUCGAGGGUUUGCCAAGGUCACCCAGGUGACAAUAAAUAACUCUUUCCAGCCUCCAUGUUUUUAUGUCCCUUCAAAGACAGGAAUCGAGAAUGCUGUGUCUCCGCCCCCUGCUGGACAAAUACCACAUUGCUCUUCUUGUGAACAUUUCUUGGCUAACCCUUCACUUUGCCUCUUUUUUUUUUCCUU